rnacentral:rRNA from 1 species
CGGAGGAAAAGAAACUAACAAGGAUUCCCUAGUAACGGCGAGUGAAGCGGGAAGAGCUCAAAUUUGUAAUCUGGCACCUUCGGUGUCCGAGUUGUAAUCUCGAGAAGUGUUUUCCGCGCCGGACCGCAUACAAGUCUGUUGGAAUACAGCGUCAUAGUGGUGAGAACCCCGUAACUGAUGCGGAUGCCCGGUGCUUUGUGAUACACUUUCGAAGAGUCGAGUUGUUUGGGAAUGCAGCUCAAAUUGGGUGGUAAAUUCCAUCUAAAGCUAAAUAUUGGCGAGAGACCGAUAGCGAACAAGUACCGUGAGGGAAAGAUGAAAAGCACUUUGGAAAGAGAGUUAACAGUACGUGAAAUUGUUGGAAGGGAAACGCUUGAAGUCAGACUUGCUAUUUGGAAUUCAGCCGCAAGGUGUACUUUUCAAUUCGCAGGCCAGCAUCAGUUUUCGGGGGUGGAAAAGGGUAGAGAGAAGGUAGCAAUUUCGGUUGUGUUAUAGCUCUUUGCUGGAUUCAUCCUUGGGGACUGAGGAACGCAGCACGCUUUUUGCAAGGCUUUCGAGCUUUUCGUGCUUAGGAUGCUGGUGGAA